rnacentral:piRNA from 1 species
GACGCGUAUAUUGAUGAGCAGAUUGAUA